rnacentral:lncRNA from 1 species
UGCUCAGAAGAUUCUUGGGUUUCUUUUUUUUUUUUUUUUGAUUCUUGGGUUUCUUAAUCCCCAAACUGCUAUAUAAGGAAAAGAAUACCUCUUGAAGAUUCCGAGCUGAUUCUUCCAACCUCCAGUGGAGGAUGUCUUGCCAGGGGUAACUGGAACUCUGUUUUCCUGGUCACAAUUGCGGAAUGCCUCACCUGUGAAGUAUGGUUAUUAUGUUUCUGUAUGAAGGUGAAUGACCUAUAACUCAAGAAACCUCAGACAGGAGGGAGUUACUAAGAUCGUUCAUGUAAGCGACAGAAACAUAAUUAUCACUCUUCAAAGGAAGAACUGUUUCCUACAUGGGACACUUUUCCUCCCACCUCUUCUCUACAACUUGUAGAUUUAAGUGAAAUGAAUCCUGGACAGACCAUCAAUCAAUAUUUGUGGGCACGUAAAUCACGACAUUAUGAAACUCGAAAAGUUAUCCAUUAACUCUGGGUAGGUAAAUGGUCACACCUUUCUCAGAUGAUUAGUAAUUAAAAUAAAAUAAAAAUAUUUUCAACUUUUCA